UACGUAGGUGGCAAGCGUUGUCCGGAUUUAUUGGGCGUAAAGAGCGUGUAGGCGGCCAGAUAAGUCCGCUGUGAAAUCUCGAGGCUCAACUUCGAGCUGUCGGUGGAAACUAUCUGGCUAGAGUCCGGAAGAGGAGAAUGGAAUUCCUGGUGUAGCGGUGAAAUGCGCAGAUAUCAGGAAGAACACCCGUGGCGAAGGCGGUUCUCUGGGACGGUACUGACGCUGAGACGCGAAAGCGUGGGGAGCGAACAGG
rnacentral:rRNA from 1 species